ACAAUAAAAGGCAAUAAAACAUUUUACGAGGGCAGAAAUAAGAACUGAGUGAUGAAGUGUGUAUUUGGCUGAUGGUGCAGGCUUGCCACGCCGUCCAGGGGGGCCUAGACAGGAAAACAAGGACGGACUCAUUAAGAAAGGAACCCAAUCAUCCUGCCUCUGCCUUCUGCCCCUCGGCCCAUGUCAGCCCCCGAGAUCUGAGUGACUGCGAUGCUGAAGAGGAAGAGGGCUCUGGGUCAUGGAACCCAGAACCUGGCGGCAGC